rnacentral:lncRNA from 1 species
GAAGGCUUCAUGCAAAUUACCUAGAAAGUGGUAAAUCAGUUCAUUAACCCACUUACAAAAUCAAUAUAUCAUGCAGGGAGCUGAACAAAACUUGGCAGCUCUGCCUGUAUCCCCUUUGCACCUGAGGGAAGCCUGACUGAAAGAAUCAGAGCCUCUUCACUCUGCCUGUGGCAGUAAGCAGCAGCUACAGACCCUCACUGGGAUCUGCAGAGCAAACCUUGCUUGCUAAGCUAGCUCUUGGGAACUUUUGUGCAUAGGAUGUCCAGCUGCAGGAGGCUUUUUCUUUAGUGGAAGUGGAGGUUCGCAUAGAAAUAGGUUGAUCUUCCUGAGUCCCCAGUGGCACAAGUCCCAGAGCCCUGGGUUACUUAGGGUCAGUCCUCCUGGUGGCUGCAGUCAUGACGGAGUGGUAAAUCCAUUAUUGAUUCUCAGAUAUUUCAUCUGCUUUCUUUUGUAGUAAUAAGAUUAAAAAAAAAAAUACAUCACAGGAGAACAUGUGUUUCACAAAUGCCGUCAUCGUUUUCCAAAACAGAAAGGCUGGUCGAAAAGCAGAGCUGGAAAAGCACGACCCCCCAUUUUGUGCGUGGUAGGCUCCUCUUGACAUUAUGCACUGACGUGAAAGGAUAUGGCUUUCCUGCUGACUUCAGCGAGAGAAAACAAAGAGUUCAGCCUGAGACCGAGAAAUUGCUUCAUAAGAAAACCAUCUGUGCUGAGAGAGAUGGACUAAGCUGA